rnacentral:lncRNA from 1 species
GAAUGCAUUUGUUCUAAAAAAUAAAACAGACUUCUCUUAUUUUCUUUGCCAGAAAAUCAUAUGACAAACAAUUCUGUCUCAGAGCUUCUAUGAAUGGGAGAAAGGAAAGUCAGCCUAAUUGAAGUCAGGAAGUAUUUGCUCCUUCACCAGUGGAGAGGAUGGAGAGAAGGCAGUAAUGAUAUGCAGCAGGAAAAGAUUGGAGUGCUACUGAGAGGGGAGAUUUUAUGCACAUACUCAUAGACUGGAAGAAACGUGCAUACAUGCUCAUUCAUAGCUGCCAGCAACAGGAAAGGGCCAUCCCCACAGUCACAAACACUCCUCCAGAGUCCAAGAUCUCAGUGGAAGUUUUUGAAGUGCUGCUGCCCUGGACGUGCCAUGAUUCAAACUUUGCCCAUGCCCUCAGAGAAUAUUAUUCAAACCUGCCUGAAGAACAGAAUAAAUCAAUUUUUGGAGGAAAAUACAUGCCUUUGAAUCGUCCUGCUAUUUCAAACUGAAUAAAAGCAUCUGUUGUCCACACAAGUUAAAUCUGAGCUGUACUGAGUGAGGUGAGCAUGCAACAGAUGUUCUCUCUCCAAACUCCUGUCUCCAGUACACACAUUAGAAAAGUUAUUGUGUUUGCAUCAUCGCUUGAUAAAUAAAUAAUUUCUCUGUGUAGGCA